UUUGUCCACCUCUGGUCCAUAUAAAUGUGAUGAGACUCCAGCCAGAUGUAGGGCAUCAGGAUAGAUCAGGCAGGUCCAAAGAGCAGAAGAGACCAGCAUCAGUGGUAUCUCAGGACUGACAUGUAACUUGAGAGAGAGAGAGAGAGAGAGACACAGGUUGUUGGGUAUGGAAGCGGAGCUCCCGAUGAGUAUAAAAUAUGGUCACAAAUAAUUUCACAUUAAAAAAAAAGGAAAUUAAAAUGCCAUGCUGGAUAAAAACCCACCUAUCUCAUGUAACUAUAGAUACAAAUUUAAUUUUCCAGUGUGCUGUGUGCUCCGCUUUGCUCCACUAUAAACUUGGACUCCACUUCGAGCUGUCACUAGCCUAUAUUUAGACCAUGUAAACUACUGUGGUACACUUCAUGUCCCUACCUGUACUAUACCUGUAUGCAAUAAAUAAAUAGGCUUUAUAGAUAGUAUGGACACAGACAUUUACAUAAAUACACGCACACAUGGAGUUUCUAUGUAUAAAAUAGGCUGCUUACUUAUUUUUGAGGUCUCCAUCUGGUGCUGGCUCUUUUGCAUCAGGCUGUCAUGGUACAUGCAGGGGCGGACUUACCAUUAGGCAAAUCAAAGCGGUUGCCUAGGGCCCCCAAAAUUUGGGGGCCCCUAACAGUCAGCCCCAUCACGGUAAACACCAAACAAUAUAUAUGUAAUCUUAAUUUGUCUCUGAUAUUAAGUAGUCAACGAUAUAAAUGGAAAAACACACCAAAAUAGCAUCAGAAUAUCGAAUUCAUGUGUAUAUAGUAUUUGUCCCAGCACACACACACACCCUGGUUGUUUUACAUUGGACUAGUCCAUGAUCUGACGACGUAGACAGGUGCGCGAUGGAAAUUCAAACCAAAGCAGAGGGAACUGUAAACAAGAUGAAGUGCAGUUAUGAGAGUGGUUGUGCUAAACAAAAAAAAAGGGCACAAAGCAAAAAGAAUGCAGCUGCACUUCUGAAACUAACUACAUUUUUCAAAUUACAUUUUUUAUGUAUAAUCUGGAAUAUCAAGAGUAGUAGCUGAAGUAGCCUGUUUAUUUAUUUAUUCAAAUCAAUCUAAUUAUUAUAGCUGUCGGUCAAAUAUGCAACCUUUUUCAAGAAGCAACUUUAAAGCAAUCCUUUUAUUGUUGCAAGUUAGAGCAUAAGUGGAUAUUGAUUCAAAUUGUGACUGAGGGGGAAAAAGGUAUCAGUCAUAGCUUGACGGUUUUAGUUGCAGCGGCAUCGUGGCAGCAGUUGACUUUCUACCACUUGUACACUCUUUUCUGGAGACCAGAAAGACAAUAACAAUAGGAUUAUAUAGAUGAUGAAGGCCAGGAGAAGUACAUGGAGAAGAGACAAGCAAGAAAGGCACAAAGGAGAGAGGGAGACCUGAAACAUGAAGGCAAAACAGACACACAGAUGAAGAAAAACAGGGGUACAGACAAAGAAAUGGAAGACAGGGACAAAGAGAAGUAGUGAAAGAUAAUAAGAGACAAGACGGAUGGACAACACCAACUUCUGCCAGUGAGCCCUUGCUGAACAAGUUUGGGUUCCAUACCUCUGCACACCACCUUUCUAUGAAGACUUUGGAGAAGCCAGCAACAAAUUAAGGACAUUUCAAUAAUGUACUGGCUGCAUCCUUUACAAACUCACAAUCCCUCUGUAUCUGUCUCUCAACCACUGUACUGCCUGUCACUAAAUGGCUCUCUCUCUCUCUCUCCCUCCCUCCCUCCCUCACUCUCUCUCACACACACACAAACUCUCUCUCUCUCUCUCUCUCUCUCUCUCUCGUACAUUUAUCUUGUCAUCAGUCUUAUCCCAUUGAAGUGUAUA